AUGAAGAUCCUCUUGGUCUUUGCCCUCCUCGUUGUAUCAACGACCAUCACCACCGCGAUCGUGCAGCUCGACCCUAGUGUCCAUGUCCAAGAAAGGCCACAACAAUCAUUUCUGCAGCAGCAACCACUUACCCAGCAACAACCAUUGCCGCUGCAAGAACCACAACAACCACUAUUCCCGCAAAAAGAGCCACAACAACCAUUUUCGCUGCAGCAACCACAACCCCAGGAACAACAACCAUAUCCACAACAGCCACUUCUCCAACAACAACUUCCCCAGCAACAUCUAUUCCCGCAGCAGCCACCACAACAACAAUUUCCGCAGCAGAUGCCACUUCCAUAUGAACAACAAACAUUCCCGCAACAACAGCAACAGCAACCACAAUUCCCGCAACAACAACCAUUUCCCCAAUAUCAACAACCAUUAACACAACAACCAUACCCGCAAGAGCAACCAUUGCCACAACAACAACCUUCUGUGGAGGAAAAACAACAAUUGAACUUGUGCAAGGAGUUCCUCCUGCAACAGUGCAACCCGGAGGAGAAACUGUCAUUAAUCCAGUCAGUGAUCCCGUUCCUCCGACCAAAGACCUCGCAACAGAAUAGCUGCCAGUUGAAGCGUCUACAAUGUUGUCGACAACUUGCACGUAUCAAUGAACCGUCCCGAUGCCCGGCCAUCCACAACAUUGUGCAUGCCAUCGUCAUGCAACAACAACAUGUGGAUAGAGGUUUCGGCCAGCCUCAACCACAACAGUUGGGCCAGGGAAUGCCCAUGCAGCCUCAAUAUCAAUUGGGCCAGGGCUUUAUCCUACCUCAACAACUAGCCCAGUUCAAGUUGGUUAGGUUACUUGUGAUUCAGACCCUGCCUAUGUUAUGCAACGUGCAUGUCCCAUCUGACUGCUACACCACUAGUGCACCAUUUGGUAGCAUGACUGCCAUGAACGGUGGACAGUGA
rnacentral:rRNA from 1 species